GACCAUUCCGGUGGUCUAGUGGUUAGAGCAUCCACCUCAGAUGCGGGAGGUCACAGGUUCAAACCCUGGCCGAGUCA